UAUCUCUGUAGAGUCUGCAUAUCAAUAAGCGGAGGAAAAGAAACUAACAAGGAUUCCCUUAGUAACGGCGAGUGAAGCGGGAAGAGCUCAAAUUUGAAAUCUUUAAGGUUCUACCUUGACGAAUUGUAGUUUAAAGAAGUGUUUUCUGUUAGAUGAGUAGCAAAAGUUCCUUGGAAUGGGACAUCAUAGAGGGUGAGAAUCCCGUAUUUGGUUAUUCAUUCUAGCUUUGUGAUACACUUUCAAAGAGUCGGAUUGUUUGGGAAUGCAGUCCAAAAUGGGUGGUAAAUUUCAUCUAAAGCUAAAUAUUGGCGAGAGACCGAUAGCGAACAAGUACCGUGAGGGAAAGAUGAAAAGAACUUUGAAAAGAGAGUUAAACAGUACGUGAAAUUGUCAAAAGGGAAGCGUUUGACACCAGUGUUGUUUUUCCAGAAAAUCAAUUACGAAUGGCUUGAUUUUGUGUUGUAUUGACCUUAUCAGCUUUCUUCACUUUUUUUCGAGUCUUUCUUAAUGCACUUUUUCGGUUAACAAGUCAACAUCAAUUUCUUUUGUUGUAAAAGAGUAUUCGGAAGGUGGCUUUCUUUUCGGAGAAAGUGUUUAUAGCCCUAUACUUCUACAAUCGGAGAGAUUGAGGUCUGCAGCGUAGAUCCUUCGGGGUUAGAUACACUUGUGCUAAGUUGUAGCUUUUCAUAGACAACUUGUUGACUAUGUUUAGUCAUGCGGCUUACUCGCUUGUGCUAUUUUACCUACGCUUAGGAUGUUGACGAGACUGUCGAUCUC
rnacentral:rRNA from 1 species